GCCCAGGUGGCGGAAUUGGUAGACGCGCCAGGUUCAGGGUCUGGUACCCGCAAGGGUGUGCUGGUUCGAGUCCAGUCCUGGGCA
rnacentral:tRNA from 1 species